rnacentral:rRNA from 1 species
UUCCGGUUGAUCCUGCCGGAGGCUACCGCUAUUGGAGUUCGAUUAAGCCAUGCGAGUCGCGAGUCUUAGGGACUCGGCGUACCGCUCAGUAACACGUGGGUAACCUGCCCUAUGCUGGGGGAUAACCUCGGGAAACUGAGAAUAAUACCCCAUAGUUCACCACGCCUGGAACGGUGGGUGGAUCAAAGCUCCGGCGGCAUAGGAUGGGCCUGCGGCGUAUCAGGUUGUAGGGGGUGUAAUGUACCCUCUAGCCCUCUACGCGUACGGGUGUUGAGAGACAUCGCCCGGAGAUGGAUUCUGAGACACGAAUCCAGACCCUACGGGGUGCAGCAGGCGCGAAAACUUGGCAAUGCGAGCAAUCGUGACCAGGGAACUCCAAGUGCAUCGGGUAAGACCGAUGCUUUUCUUGACUCUUCAAAGGUCUUGGAAUAAGGGGUGGGUAAGGACGGUGCCAGCCGCCGCGGUAAUACCGGCGCCCCAAGUGGUAGUCGCUUUUAUUGGGCCUAAAACGUCCGUAGCCGGUCUGGUACAUUCGUGGGUAAAUCAACCAGCUCAACUGGUUGAAUUCUGCGAGCACGGCCAGACUUGGGACCGGGAGAGGUGUGGGGUACUCUCAGGGUAGGGGUAAAAUCCUGUCAUCCUGAGAGGACCACCUGUUGCGAAGGCGCCACACUAGAACGGAUCCGACGGUCAGGGACGAAGCCUAGGGGCACGAACCGGAUUAGAUACCCGGGUAGUCCUAGGUGUAAACGCUGUGGACUUGAUGUUGGGGGCGCUCCGAGCGCACUCAGUGUCGAAGCGAAGGUGAUAAGUCCACUGCCUGGGGAGUACGGUCGCAAGGCUGAAACUUAAAGGAAUUGGCGGGGGAGCACCGCAACCUGAGGAUUGUGCGGUUUAAUUGGAUUCAACGCCGG